rnacentral:sRNA from 1 species
GGGGUGGGAAGGCUGGUUUUGACAGAAAAGAUGUAACCUGAGCCCUGAAAAUGGAAGGUUUUCAGGGACAUGGUGGUGGGGAGAGCAGUGAAUGGAGGAGCCAGAGUUAAACCAAGUUGGCUAAGGGUAGUUUUGCAGAGUUCUAGCAACUAAUCCUAACACGUUAUUAGGUGUCCACUUAUUAAUGAAAAUGUCUCACACACUCAGUCUGAUCGCAGUAUCAGUGAGGUGAUUGAAAUAGUUGCAUUAGGCAGCUAAAUCCAUAAUCAUUGGCCUCUCCACCGUAGGGGAGCUUGGCUAAUCCUAACAUUAGCAGGUCGCAGGACCUCAUCAACAGAGCCUGCUGCAGAGUGAGGGAUGCUGUUUUCAGGAUGCCAAGGAGACCUGGGGAGCUCUGGGGGAUGGACACGCUCAUUCUUACUGUAAAGAUCCCCUGAGAACAGCGGGCUGUUAAAGGAUCAGUGUGGAACUUGCCUUACAGUCUAAAAGGCAGCAUAUUUCCUGGUUAUAAUAGUUUGGAGAAAAAUAUUGCUAAAUGGCUGCAUAAACAAUCUUAAUUGGCCUGAGCUCCCAAAAUGGAGCUAUUUCUGUGCUGUCGCCAAGCAUGUUUUUUUUACUAGCUAAUUAUGCCCACCAUUUAACUUUUGGGAGAAAAAAAGAAAAAGAAAGAAAGAGGAGAAACAGGAAAUAAGGCAUUCAUUAUUGGAGUGACAACUUUGGACAAGCCCACAUUUCAACAGCCAUUGUGUAAUUUCCUCUCCCUAGCUUACAGUUAGUUGUUCCAUGAGGCCACUGGAAACAAACACCUCCUUUAGUGGGGGCUGGGAGGUCGUUUGUUCAAUUCAAAAUGCCUGUCUAUUUUCACCUCAGGCAAAGGGACAGGUUCCCUCAGGCCACUGGAGCCCACCUCAAGAGUCUCUUUGCCAGGGAAAUUCUCCAAUGAAGGUUUCUGUUUGUCCUUGAUGUAAGCUCACCGAUGGAUCUGGAGAGAAAUCUUCAUCCCUCUCUCCAGAAAUCAUCCCACCACUGAUGUCCUCAAGAAGCCCAGAUUCUGUAGAUGGGAGCAUUUGGAAGACUACAACCCCUCCUGGGCCAUCUGAAGAUUGCAUGGUUCUUCUGUGACUGUUGCUAAGAUCAUUUCCUAUGUGUAAGGAUAUUUCCACUGAGCAACAGAGACACCAACCUACCCACAACACUUUCAACUCAAAAUUUAUCCUGUCUACAAGAAAUACAGGCACCAGACGAUGGAGCAGAGACUGAGGGGAUGGCCAAUGAAUAACCAGCUCAACCUGAGACCUAUUCUAUGGGCAAGCAACCCCUAACACUAUUAAUGAUACUCUGUUACAUUUGUUGACAGAAGCACUUUGUACUUUCAGAGGCUCUACCCAGCACCUGACUCAGAAAGAUACAGAUACCCACAGCCAAACAGUGGAUAGAGAUUGGGGAUUCUUAUGGAAGAAGAAGAAGGAUUAGGAGGAAGGAUUGUGGCCCCUAAGGGAAUAGGAGCUCCACAGGAAGACCAGUAGAGUCAACUAAACUGGACCCUUGGAGCUCUCAGAGUCUGAGCCACCAACCAAAGAACAUACACAGGCUGGACCUAGGCCUCCCCAAACAUAUGUGGUAGAUGUGCAACUUGGUCUUCAUGUGGGUCCCGAACAACUAGAGUGGGGGCUAUUCCAAAGGCUGUUGCCUACAUGUGGGAUGUGUUCUACUAGCUGGGCUGCCUUGUCUGGCUUCUGUGGAGGCUUACAGAGACCUGAAGUGCCAGGGUGUGGGGGAGAUACCCAGGGGGGUCCCACAUCCUCAGAGGAGAAGGGGAAGGGUGAUGGGGAAAGAAUUGUGGGAGGAGGCUGCCAGGAGGGGGCAGUGAGUGGGAUAUAAAGUAAAUAAAUAAAAAAAGAAUAUUUCCACUGUGGGGAAGAUGUCUCAGCAGUUAGAAGGUCUUGUUAUUUAUGCAGAGGACCUGGAUUUGGUUCUCAGCAUCCCCCAUGGAGGUUCACCAUCAUCCACAACUCCAAUCCCAGGGGAAUUCAGUACUUUGUUCUCACCACGGUAGGCACCAGGUUUAUGAUCAUACACAUAUAUACAGGUAAACUAUUCCUACACAUAAAAUAAAAUGAAUAAAUAUUUUUAAAAGAAAUCUUUUUAUUGAAAAGAAUAAAAAACCUUCAAGAUAACACAGCAAGAGGAAAAGACAUAGAUAAUUACAAGCGUUCAUAGGUCCAGUCGCUGUAGCCCUGUCAUGUGCUCCGGAGGUAUGCACUGAGGUUUUGUGAGGAAAACCCAUCCUUGCUGGGGUCUCACUAAGCCUGGGCAGUGGCUAAAGCCUUGCAAACCCUCCCGGAGAGUCUUGGAUGGAGGCAGCAGAACACCAUCCAAGGCCUGCUACAGAAUAAGAGAGGAGAACGCAGUAUGAGGUUCGAUGAGUCUCCCCUGACUGGGGGCUGUGGAGCUGAGACCCAGGAGAGGGGAAGGGGGCUGCCUAGCAUAACCCUCUGUUUCUAAACAUGUUAGAAUUGAUUCUAGACCUUUCUUCUUGGCUCCAGUUUCCCUCAGACCCACAGGCAGACUCUGGCUGUCCCUGUUGAGCAGGCUCAGUUGUCUCCACCAGUUUCUUGGAUGUGCUCCACACUGUGGCAGUGAACGAGGCACUCGGGGCCUGAUGUGACAAAAGAGGAAAACAUCCAGAAGACACUCCAACCUGGAAUCCAGGAGCCCCAAUUCUCACGGAGCGACUUUGGACAGGUGGCCAAUCCACUAGAACUCUGUUUCCCCAUCAACCAGCACCUUGACCUUGAAUGACCUUUCAGAACUCCCCGAAUCCCUUCAGAACUCCCCGAAGAGAGAUGAUUCCAGCAUACCAGCACUCCUAAAAUUUCAAUCUCUAAGCUCAAGUUUAUUUUCUAUCUUUUGCCUUACUGCUGGCUGGCUUGCUCUUGGUGUAAUUUAUUUAGACUGAGCCAUGCUGAGCGGUUUGGAACUGAGUUUGCAUGAAUCACUGUCCAUAAAAUCAAGUUAAGUGGAUUUCAUUGCACACGGCGCACCUGUGUACAGACGCGGCAAGAAGCAGCCGGAUUUUCUCGGCUCUUCCAGACCCCUGUUAGAAUUGCUUCUCCACUGAUACAGCACUCACCUGUAUUUAUUGUCCAUUGUUAUAACAGCCUCCCUCCGAAAGCUGAAAGUAAAGCGUUGGAGCAAUUUCUCCCGCAGAUCAUUUUAUAUAGCUGUCCAGGUUCCCUAUCUAGCCAGGAAAACUGGCAUUGAUUUUCCCUAUUUUAUCAGAGUCGACAAAUAUCAGAUCCACCUCCAAUUCAGUCGUCCCACAAAUUUUUAUUGAGUGUUAUAUGAAGUCAUCUUGAGGUAGGUACAGGGCUGAGGCUCAGCGUUCUAAGACCUUACAAACUGGGUCAAGCAUUGAGCAACAACUUGAGGUUAAACAACGCAGGAGGCUGCUGCCGGGCAGGAAACGGCAUAUUGGAUACAUUCUGAGUGAGGAGAAGCCAAACACAAGGCAAGUGACACAGGGAAGGAUUAUGGGGAAUUUGGGAAGGAGGCUGAGUAUGUGAGAGUGACUUCAAUUUGGACCAUUGCCCACAUUCAUCCCCCUCUAUCCCUCUGACAGCCCGGACAGCCAUCAUCCGAGUUCAUCAUGUUCCGUAAAAGGAUGUGAUGGGGUGGGGGUGGAGAUGACAUUUAUGGGAAGAAAUGCCCAAAGGGUCUGCUCUGGUGCUCGUGAAAAUAUAUUUCAGAGCCAGUGUGAAGGAUUAUAAAGGGAUUUAUUUCAUUUUGUAGCACAGCCAAAAGCACAGGUAGGCUCUGGACUAAAAUGGUGGCUUAGGAGACUGGCUGCUUGUAUCUUUGUUCUUCUUUUCUGUCAUGAUGUAGGAAGUGCGUGGCCUCUGUUCUGCCACAGAAUAAACAUUUUGGUUUUCCAGGCUGAUUUCAGAUGUUUCUGAAAAUUUGAUUUCAUUUGCCCUCUCUGAGAGUCAGAGAGACAGGUUGGGAUAUUGCAGAAGGGCAUGGUGGGGCCUGUGCUGACAGUUUAUUUAUAUAAUCCCUUUGAGAAAAUCUAGUUGAUUAAAGCCACUAAGUUUUGGGCAGACUUGCUUAGAUACGUGACCUAAACAGCAUUCGGCUUGCUUCACUGGGUCUGUUGGUGGUGCUGUUUUGGGAUAAGUCAUGCCCACGUGUCCCCAAUAACCAUUUGGGAAGCUAAAAUGCUUAGAUGGCACCAUUACCUGGAGGAGUAAUGUUAUGCUCUGGUGAGCAGUGCUGUCCAGUGGAAAUACAACGAGAGGCACACGUGUAACUUAGAAGUUUCUUCUAAAACUCCAAGACCUUUAAACAUUUUUAUUUCAAGGCUAGAGAAUUGGCACUGGCUGCUGUUCCAGAA